GGAGUUGUGGCACAGCGGGUUAAUGCUCUGGCCUGAAGCGCCAGCCUCCCAUAUGGGCAUGGGUUCUAGCCCCGGCUGCUCCU
rnacentral:tRNA from 1 species